UUGGCUAAGUUCCUUCUGAAAGGUACUUUCUUCUGCCAUAUCUACUAUUGUGUUUUUGAGUGUUAUUGCUUUCUCUUCUACUGAGCCCUAUUUAAGUCCCUUCUAAAAGAAUUUUUUAUUAAACAUGUUUCUUUUGCUAUCCUGACAGUUCUCUAACUCUGUUUGUUUUGAAUUUUGUUUGCAUUUGCUUGUCUUCUAAUGAAAUUAUGAAAAUAAAUAUCUGAGCAUGUUGCCUCCUCAUCUCUAUAUUUGAUUUGAGGAUGAAACCCUAUAAUUUGGGGGUUCCUCCGAGUUUGGUCAUAUGAACAGAUCAGGGUUCUGUUUGAUAACCUUGGACUCUUUUAGGCUUAUUUCUGAGUCUAUGAACUAAGUGUGAAUUUAUCUUGCUUGCACACAAUCCUGAAUCUACUACACUAGACCCUUCUAUAUGCUCUUAUAUAUGAGGAAUUUUUCUUCCAAAGGGGUUUUCAUAACUUGUGAUUGAUUUAGAUUUCUUUUUUUUUAAUUUAUUUGGUACCGAUUUUCCUUAAGUCAAAAUCUUUCCCAUCUUUAUGACUCGGUUCAUUCAUACAACAUCUUCAAUUUCUAAUUUAUUACUUGUUAAUUUAUUCCAUUGCCUUAUUUGCACAAACCGUGUACUAUAAAUAAUUUUUUCUUAAAUAUACCUCUAUUUAUUUACCCCUCUGGAAGUUUUUGAUUAAUCUCCUUCCAUAAUUAGUUUACCCGUUUGAAAUCAGAAUCCCUUAGUUAAAGGGAAACCUUGUGUAAUUGAUUUCAAAACUAUUUUCUUACCUAUUCCUUCUUACUUUGUACACUAUUAAAGGGCACCACCCUUCUGCACUUUUGGAACACACAUUACACACUUCAGGCACUUAUAAUCUCACAGUUCUCUUCUAAACUUAUAGCAUUCUGACUACUUGUUUGCACUUUGGCCUUACAAGACUGCUGCUUUCUUUUGCUUGUUUCCUUGAGACCGGUAUGUUCUAGUUUUGGUUUAAGCAUCAUCCCAAUGUGUUUGCUUAGAGCUUUUACGUCCAUGUUUAUUUACUACCUAUAUGAAGUUUUAACAUGUUAAUUUCCUUUCAUUUGUUUCUGCUGUGAAUCCCUGCACCCAUGUUUCCCUUAUGUGCUUUGAGUUGUAGUUCAGAACAUGGCAAUAUUCCAGUUAUUGUUCAUGUUUGGACUUGAUCCCUUAGGGGAUCCUAACUCCCAAAACAAUGUGUUCU
rnacentral:lncRNA from 1 species